rnacentral:rRNA from 1 species
AAGUAAAAGUCGUAACAAGGUUUCCGUAGGUGAACCUGCGGAAGGAUCAUUAUUGAACACUUUGGAGACUGUCGCUGGCUUCUUCCAGAGAAGCAUGUGCACGUCCUCACUCUCUCNCACACACACACCUGUGCACCCUCUGUAGGCCCCUCGAGUCUACGUCUUUUCCUACUAUUCACACCGAACGUAUGUCCAUAGAAUGUCAUAUAAUAACCAAUACAACUUUCAGCAAUGGAUCUCUUGGCUCUCGCAUCGAUGAAGAACGCAGCGAAUUGCGAUAAGUAAUGUGAAUUGCAGAUUUCCAGUGAAUCAUCGAAUCUUUGAACGCAUCUUGCGCUCCUUGGUAUUCCGAGGAGCAUGCCUGUUUGAGUGUCAUCGACAUUUAUCAAUCAUGUUCUCGAGCAUGACUUGGAAUUGGGGGUUGCUGGCAUCGAAAAAGACGUCAGCUCUCCUGAAAUGCAUUAGCGGGUGGGCGCACGGCCUUUCGACGUGAUAAUGAGCGUCGUGGUGGGCAUGUGCUGCCUUAUCGCUUCCAAUCAUCAUUAUAUCGUUUUCAUGACUUGACCUCAAAUCANGUAGGACUACCCGCUGAACUUAAGCAUAU